rnacentral:piRNA from 1 species
UUCCUAUUCUCCCUACUUCCCAGGUGCCC